AUCCUGGGUUCAGCUUCCCCUGUGAGAAGGACACAUAUAACAAUAAGAAAUUAAGGGUUCGGGAAGGAGAGGGGCCACCCUGUGCUCACCCCCACACAGCCCUGCAGGAAAACCCAGUGAACGGUGCCCAGGUGCCUGGCUGACUCCUGGGCCGGGAGGGGACAUGGAGGGACAGUGGCCAUCAGGCUCUUUGUGGACACUGGGGAUUAACUACUGCUCGUUCUCAGCUCACUGGUGUCCAGCCCAUCAAUAACCUCAUCAAUAACCUAACUUUGGUCAAUUAGGUUGGAGUCCGAAGGUGACUGAUUUGCGGCAAGGUUUUCUCUCUUCCUCUGUAAAGUGGAGUCCUUCAUCAUUCAUCGCAAGUAGACAACUCGCUUCCUAAUGCCUCUGCAUUAAGGAGCCAGGCGCUGCAGCUCUUUGGUACGUGACCUCAAAUAGAUUCAUGCGUCCUUCUGCUGACACGCUCCUGGGAAAUCCAGAAACUCUAGAGAAGCUUGUUUGCCAAACCUUGCUUUGGGCGGUGGAGACAGAAUAUCAUGUCCCAGAUCAGCGUGUGGUGACUGUGGAGGCAUUUACACACAGCACACUCCAGCUCUGCCACUGGGCCGGCUGAGGUGGCUGCGGUACACGGCGCCCAUCCUGAGCCCCAGGUUCCUCACAUGUCAACAGCAUGAAAAGUGCCUCUAAGACAUCCACAGGUGUGCAGUGUUAAAGCAGGUAAGAUGGAUUCACAUCUGCUGGGUGCACGAACACUUCCUCCUUCCUUGCCACCAGCCAGCAUCACAACCAGCCUGGCCAGGCUCCCGUCCCAGCCCAGCCUAGCAGCUAACCCCAGCUCCAUCCCCCAGCAAGCCCCUCUGCCUGCACCUCAGCUUCUUCAUGGAAGACGAGUCAGGUCAUGAUGCCACCAGGGAGCGUGUUUCCAUGUUGAACUGAGACACUAAGCCCUUGACAAAUGUUGGCCAAGAAAAAAAAGGGGCUCCAAGAGGGGAGCUGUGGCUCAGGUAGAAGACGGUGAAUGAGCAUUGCCUGAAUCAGAGUUAGCUACUCUGGUUACACAGGUGUCCCCGGCAGGUUGGUCAAAAGCCCUUCCCUGAGUCCCGUGAUAAGUGUGGGGAGGGAGGCAAAUCAAAGACCCCUACACACCUCCUGCAUGGAUGGCCAGAGCGCUGGUCCCACCUCCUUCCUUCCAAACUGCAACCCCGAUCAGCACAGCAGAGAAGUCUCCUGUGGCAGGGACCAGUAAUUCAGUGCUUCCCCUGGAGAGUCUGGGAUUGCACAGAACACCAGAGGCUGGGGAUUUAUUUGUUCACCAACAUUCAUUCAACAAACACUUACUGAGGCCAACACUGGGAAUGGAGACGAACUUCCCUGUCCUCAUGGAGCUUGCUUUCAAAAGGGAAGGAGGCAGACAGUAAACAAAACAAGCAAGUCAAUAUACAGCAUGAUGCAGAAAAGGUGUGAUGCCACCCUCUUGCCUGAGUUUAUAACAAGCAGAUGAUGUUGUCCUAAGAAUUAAUUUCAGCCGGUGAAAGAGUACAGGCAAAAAACGUGGUCUCGGACUUUCCGGUGAUGCUUAAGAACAUAGUUGCAGUUUUUGUUCUGAUUCUUUGUGCAUCUCGCGCUAAUGAAGGAUUCUGCCAUGAUUGCCACCUCUGGAGACGUCACAGCCAGCACAGCCAUGACCAGGGAUGAACUUGGCCAUUGUCCAGCAGCACCAUGGGAGGACCAGCUGCUGUAAGUGAAGGUCAUCAUCCAUCUGAUUUGCUGGCUUUUUGCAACUACUGCGGUGGAAGUCUUAGAGUAGCCACCUUCUCUGUACUCAGACCUUCACUUCGCCAGAUGUCAGCACAGCAGUGUCAGCAGCUUCGUCAAACACAAACACCACCACCUCUCUGGAUCAGAAGCACAUGGAAAGCCCACCUUGCAAGAAGACCCAGCUAUUCCAAAAGUACCCAUAUCCCUGUAGCAUCCUCUUAGCUGAAUGUCUCUACUCCUUAAACUUGUACCACUUUGAAGAGUAAAAAUUUAAAUUCAUUCAUAUUAUCAUUUUUUAGUUUUUAGUAUAAGUGGAGCUGUUUAUCGGCCAUUUGUAUGUCCUUUUCUUUUUUUUGCAAAUUACUCCUUUGCCAAAUUUUCUCUCAAAUGACUCAUCUUUUUCUUAUUGAUUUGCAGAAGCUAUUUACAUAUUAUGGAUGUGGGGUGUCUAACAUACACAGCAAAUACUUUGUCCCAGUGUGUCACUUUUUAAAAAAAUUCUUAUAAUGUCUUUCAUCUUUAAAAAAUUAUUAAGCUAUUGUGAGCUUUUAUGCCUUUUCAGUUUAUUUUCUUACAUAGAUAAUUAUAUGAAGUGCAAAUAGGGGCAGUGUUAGUCUCAUCUUCCCAAGGCUGCACCUCAGAUGUGGAAUGUUGACAGCAACAUCUGUUACCUUGUUUCUGUUUUUAGGAUUUUAGCGUUAAGGCCAGGCAUAAUGGUUCAUGCCUGUAAUUCCAGCACUUUGGGAGGCCGAGGUGGGCAGAUCACUUGAAGCCAGGAGUUCAAGACCAGCCUGGCCAACAUGGAGAAACCCUCUCUAUUUUUAAAUACAUUUAAAAUGUUAACAAUUAAAACAAAAUAUUUUACCGUUAGUAUGAUGCUUGAUACAGGAUUUCUGGUACAUACGCCUUAUCAAAUUAAAUAAGUUUCCUUUUACUCUUGUUUAUUGUUAUUUUUUAAAAUAAGGAAUGAAUCUUGGAUUUUAGUGUAUCAAUAAUUAUAUUUUAUUCUUUAACUUCAUAAUAUUCCUUAUAAUUCCUUAUGUCAUAUUAAAGAUGUAAAUUCAUAUAUAUUUUAUCAUACAAAUGAUUAAUAAAUGUAUAAGCAUGUCAUUAUAUGAGAGUAUACUUCCUUAUGUUUCAUGAAUGCAUCGUGACAGGCUCAUUUUUUUAAUCACUGCUCGAUUUGUGCCACUGAUGUUUUAUGAGGCCUAUUUAUGUCGGCGAUGGUAAGAGUGUUAGUGUUUCCUCUGUGGGUACCUUCAUCUACCGUGAGUCUCCUGGAUAUGCUAGCAUCACAGAAUGGCAGGCGGAAAUUUCCAGCUUUUUCUAUAGAAUGAGUUUAACACAGAAAAUAGAUCUUUCUUGAAAAUGUGGUAACACUUACCUGGAAACCUCCCUGGCCUAGUGCCUCUUUUCUUGGGGCUAAAGGGUAUGAAAAUGGGUAGAUCUCCAAAUGCCUUUUCCAUUUUUCUAUGAAUAUUAUUCCUACUCAGGCUUUUCUCUUCUUGGAACAAUGCUGCUAACUUGUGCCUACUUGGCUAUUUCUACUUCAUGUAUAUUUUCAAAUCCAUUGGUGUGCAAGUGGACUUAGUAUGUUCUUGCAAGCGUAAGAGUCUCCAUUAGUGUAAUGACCUUCUCUCUUUCUGUUUUCCUUGAGCAAUUAACAUAUAUUUGUCUUAUUUUAUUGGUCUUCUCAAAAGAAUAUGCUUUUGAGUUAUUGAUCACCUGUACCAUGUGUUCUAUCACACUAUUCUGUGUUUACUCAAGCUCGUUAAUUGAUAUUCAAAUCCCUGUAUUUUGUCAAUUUCUGUUAGAUGCUAGUAUUAAAAAUUUUUUAUAUAACCG
rnacentral:lncRNA from 1 species